rnacentral:tRNA from 1 species
GGGGAGGUGGCUCAGAGGUUAAGAGCACUGGCUGCUGUCCCAGAGGUCCUGAGUUCAAUUCCCAGCAACCACA